AUUGAACGCUAGCGGCAUGCCUUACACAUGCAAGUCGAACGGCAGCACGGGGGGCAACCCUGGUGGCGAGUGGCGAACGGGUGAGUAAUGCAUCGGAACGUGCCCAUCGAUGGGGGAUAACUGCGCGAAAGCGUUGCUAAUACCGCAUACGACCUACGGGUGAAAGCAGGGGACCGCAAGGCCUUGCGUCGAUGGAGCGGCCGAUGCCGGAUUAGCUAGUUGGUGAGGUAAAGGCCUACCAAGCCUACGAUCAGUAGCUGGUCUGAGAGGAUGAUCAGCCACAUUGGGACUGAGACACGGCCCAAACUCCUACGGGAGGCAGCAGUGGGGAAUCUUGGACAAUGGGCGAAAGCCUGAUCCAGCAAUGCCGCGUGUGGGAAGAAGGCCUUCGGGUUGUAAACCACUUUUGGCGGGAAAGAAAUGGUCUGUGCUAAUACCACGGAUUGAUGACGGUACCCGCAGAAUAAGCACCGGCUAACUACGUG
rnacentral:rRNA from 1 species